rnacentral:rRNA from 1 species
AAGCUUGCUUUUCCGCUGACGACCGGAUGCACGGGUGCGUAUCGCGUAUGCAACCUACCUUUUACAGGAGUAUAGCCCAGAUAAAUUUGGAUUAAUCCUCCAUAAUAUUUUAUUCAUGCAUAUGAUAAAGAUUAAAGUUUACGCCGAAAAUGAUGGGCAUGCGUUUCAUUAGGUAGUAGGAUAGGUAAUGGCUCACCUAUGCCACUAUAAAUAGGGGCCCUGAUAGGGGGAUCCCCCACACUGUGUACUGACACACGGACCAGACUCCUACGGGAGGCAGCAGUGAGGAAUAUUGGACAAUGGAGCAAAGUCUGAUCCAGCCAUGCCGCGUGCAGGAUGACGGCCCUAUGGGUUGUAAACUGCUUUUAUACAGGAAGAAACACUCCCACGUGUGGGGGC